rnacentral:lncRNA from 1 species
GGACACUUCCUUUAAGAACAGUAUUGAUAGACUGCCUUUAUGCAAAUCCCUUUGGAAGAAAGGAUGGAGAGGAAGAAGCCGGAAACAGAUGAGAGGCAGGAAAUACCAAAUUGCAUGUUUAUAAAUGCUGUGAAGGAAUAUGGCAAGAGGGGAUAAUGCUAGACUGGCGGCCAUGGAAACUGAAGUCUUCUGUUUGUUCACAGGACGGCUCAUAGCCCUGAAAGUCCCAGUUCAAGCUUCCACAAUCAUCCUACACAAGAGCACUGCUUCUCACAGGACUGCCUCAGCCUGGCAGGAUUCAGUCUCCUGCUCUGAGGGAAAAACAGGAAGUCAAGGAUCAAGACCGAGUGCUCAACUGAGAUCAGAAAGGAGGACACACAGUGACUUGGCCAAAUCACUGGAGAUUCACACAGCAGAGCUCAGACGAGUGCUAUCAGCACAGCUGAGGAAGACAACAGUUAGGGUGCAAGGAUCCUGAAAGAGAAACAUUGGUUGUGUUUUUAUUCCUUGGGUAUAAGAAUCCUGAAAGAGAAAGGCAUCUGAACCUUGGAGGCAUGGGGUUCAUCUCAUCCUCAUCCAGCCUGUGAUGAUGGAGCUGUUUUCACCAGAAACGUGAGGAGACUCAUACCACUUGAGUUCUGCUUAAAUUCAGCAUCUUCUCUCAGUUCAAAUUUAAGAAAGGAGAUACCACACCACCCACCGACAUAUCCCAUUCUGGAAGAGUAUACAAACUAAAGAUAGAAAACUUCUCAAAUCUACCUGGAAGCUUGCAUAUUCAAAGGAACUAUUUGUUGGAGUGCCAGAUUAUUUAAGGGCCUUUGCAUGUUUCAAGUCCUCUUCUUAAAGUAAGAAUACUCUCCACAUUUAUAACAGCAACAAAAACACCAAUGUCAGCACAAAAUGCAAAAACGGAGGCACUUCUAUGUCAUAAUGAUACAUCAGAGUUCUGCUCAACUCUUUUUUAGAAAAAGAAGCUCAGACUUACACACAUCCACUUUCUUAAAUAAAUAAUUGUUCAAUGAAAGUUACCCUGGGAGGAUUGCUGUCUCCAGCUCCCAAGCACUGCUCAUCUGCUGACGGGGGGUACUCUGUGACUGUUACAGAAAUUGCUCUUAAAUGCAUAAAACACAGAAGAGAAUUUUUGGAAAAUCCCUUAUUAUUCAUUAAAGCAUUUUAGGGCCUCAUUAAUCCAGAUGGGUUAAUCGGUUGUUGAUUUGCCAGGUUGUUAAGCAUCCAUUGUCAGAUGCUGAUGGGGUGUGAGAAAAUAUAAUUCCGAUCUACCAAAGAGUCACCUGAAUGAGGCUAGCACUUCAUCAGGGAAGGCUGUAUCUUCCUCAGGGAAGGCUGUGUCUUCAUCAGGGAAGGCUGUAUCUUCCUCAGAGAAGGCUGUAGCUUCCUCAGAGAAGGGUGUAUCUUUACCAGGGAAGGCUAUGUCUUCAUCAGGGAAGGCUGUAUCUUCCUCAGAGAAGGCUGUAUCUUCACCAGGGAAGGCUGUAUCUUCAUUACGGAAGGCAGUAUCUUCUGGGGAUAAAUUAAGCUGGGCAUCCAGCUUCUUCUUUAAUUUCCAAAACUUCUCUGUAUCACAAAACAUUCCUCAUUCUUUGGGUGUUUUUUUUUUGUUUUUUUGUUUUUUUUUUUUUUGCCUACCUAAGGUCUGAAAUGAUGUCAGAAGCCAUUUUCAAAAGCUAGUUCGUAACAGGUCAACAGGUCAGUCGCACAUAUGCACUUAGGCACAGAAGCCCAACAUUUAAAGAUGUUUGUGUGUACGUGUCUGUAUACGUGUAUACACAUCUGUGUAUAUGUUUGUGUCUACACAUGUAUACACGUCUAGGCGUAUAUGUUUGUGUCUACACGUCUGUGUAUAUGUUUGUGUCUACAUGUGUCUAUGUGUUUGUCUAUAUGUCCAUAUGCGUAUAUUUGUGUGUGUCUGCGUGUGUGUGCAUGAGUUUGGCUUUGACUUUGUUUCAAAGUUCUUAGCUAGAGCCUGUCCACAUCUUCAGCCCUUCAGACACAAAUGGUAUUCAGGUUAUCAAGGGGAUUCUUUAGCCAGGGCUUAAAAACUCAACUUUCUUUCUUUCCAAACCUUGACUGACUGAGAGUCACAUAACAGCAGUGAGCACAGUGAGAAAAGUCCCUGGAUUAGAAGUUGGAAAAUAUGAUUCAGGGUCCUGGUUCUGUUUUAAGAGAGGAAGUGACCAUCAUUAG